rnacentral:rRNA from 1 species
CCUACGGGUGGCAGCAGUCGAGAAUCAUUCACAAUGGGGGAAACCCUGAUGGUGCGACGCCGCGUGGGGGAAUGAAGGUCUUCGGAUUGUAAACCCCUGUCAUGUGGGAGCAAAUGAAAAAGAUAGUACCACAAGAGGAAGAGACGGCUAACCUUGUCCCAGCAGCAGCGGUAAUACAGGGGUCUCAAGCGUUGUUCGGAAUCACUGGGCGUAAAGGGUGCGGAGGCUGUUUCGUAAGUCCAGUGUGAAAGGGGCGGGCUCAACCCGCGGACGGCACAUGAUACUGCGAGACUAGAGUGAUCGAGGGGGAACCGGAAUUCGCGGUGUAGCAGUGAAAUGCGUAGAUAUCGAGAGGAACACUCGUGGCGAAGGCGGGUUCCUGGACAUUAACUGACGCUGAGGCACGAAGGCCAGGGGAGCGAAAGGGAUUAGAUACCCUUGUAGUC